CCUACGGGGGGCAGCAGUGGGGAAUAUUGCACAAUGGGCGCAAGCCUGAUGCAGCCAUGCCGCGUGUGUGAAGAAGGCCUUCGGGUUGUAAAGCACUUUCAGCGGGGAGGAAGGCGUUAAGGUUAAUAACCUUGGCGAUUGACGUUACCCGCAGAAGAAGCACCGGCUAACUCCGUGCCAGCAGCCGCGGUAAUACGGAGGGUGCAAGCGUUAAUCGGAAUUACUGGGCGUAAAGCGCACGCAGGCGGUCUGUCAAGUCGGAUGUGAAAUCCCCGGGCUCAACCUGGGAACUGCAUUCGAAACUGGCAGGCUAGGGUCUUGUAGAGGGGGGUAGAAUUCCAGGUGUAGCGGUGAAAUGCGUAGAGAUCUGGAGGAAUACCGGUGGCGAAGGCGGCCCCCUGGACAAAGACUGACGCUCAGGUGCGAAAGCGUGGGGAGCAAACAGGAUUAGAUACCCCGGUAGUC
rnacentral:rRNA from 1 species